UACGUAGGUGGCAAGCGUUGUCCGGAAUUAUUGGGCGUAAAGCGCGCGCAGGCGGUUCCUUAAGUCUGAUGUGAAAGCCCCCGGCUCAACCGGGGAGGGUCAUUGGAAACUGGGGAACUUGAGUGCAGAAGAGAAGAGCGGAAUUCCACGUGUAGCGGUGAAAUGCGUAGAUAUCUGGAGGAACACCGGUGGCGAAGGCGGCAUCCUGGACCGGUAUUGACGCUGAGGCGCGAAAGCUAGGGGAGCAAACGGG
rnacentral:rRNA from 1 species